UACGAAGGGUGCAAGCGUUACUCGGAAUUACUGGGCGUAAAGCGUGCGUAGGUGGUUUGUUAAGUCUGAUGUGAAAGCCCUGGGCUCAACCUGGGAAUUGCAUUGGAUACUGGCAGGCUAGAGUGCGGUAGAGGAUGGCGGAAUUCCCGGUGUAGCAGUGAAAUGCGUAGAGAUCGGGAGGAACAUCUGUGGCGAAGGCGGCCAUCUGGACCAGCACUGACACUGAGGCACGAAAGCGUGGGGAGCA
rnacentral:rRNA from 1 species